GUACGUUCCGACCGACAUUUUGAUUAAAUAUACUUAUCAAAAGAAUAUUUUGUUUUAAAGACUUCAUCAUUGGUUUUUUCGACUAGCAUUCGCAUUUGUUCAUUUUACGCCUAGAUUUAGUAGUUUUACUAUGCGCUUCGUUUGAGUGUAUUUUGUUAUGUUUUUAAUUCGGGUUGGUUGGUCGCGGAACGCAAAAAAACGACAUGAAAUCGUACGAUACGUAUAUAGUUUUUCGUGGUUUUUCGGUCAUCAAGCUAUACUGUUCACCUGAGGCAAGGCCCACAAAAAUGAUGCUGCACAAAAUUGCCUCAGCCGGGUCAUCCGAUUGUCCUGCUUGUUGGCAAAUUCGUGGAGGCUUUCCCGGUGGUUAUAAUGAUGAUGGUUCUGACAAACCCUGGUGGAUAAACAUCUUCAUCUUCGUCGAUGGACAAACCAAUUGAGUCAACAUGGUCGAAAAAUAUCCUCAAGGGAGUACAUCCAGCUGGCUCACGGUAGCGAAAGUGACGGAUGAUGAAAGGAACGACCUGGAGGAAACCAUAACCGAGAAACAAACUAGGUUGAUUCGAUUCUUCAGUUAAGUCACAAAACUGUUGGACAUCGAUCGUUUAGCCCGGUUGACGAUUGAGGACAAACAGCAUGAACAUAGGAAAUAGUUAUUGACAAAUCAGUGGGUCGCCUCCGGCAAGUAUGUCCAGGGAUUCGCGACUGAUUCGAUGAAUUAACGGAUUACUUAUAGAAAGUCUUAUAUCGAGCUAUUUGGCUGCCUACAUCGGCAUACUAAAAACAUUGAAUGCAAAU